AGUGAACGCUGGCGGUAGGCCUAACACAUGCAAGUCGAACGGCAGCACAGUAAGAGCUUGCUCUUACGGGUGGCGAGUGGCGGACGGGUGAGGAAUACAUCGGAAUCUACUUUUUCGUGGGGGAUAACGUAGGGAAACUUACGCUAAUACCGCAUACGACCUACGGGUGAAAGCAGGGGAUCUUCGGACCUUGCGCGAUUGAAUGAGCCGAUGUCGGAUUAGCUAGUUGGCGGGGUAAAGGCCCACCAAGGCGACGAUCCGUAGCUGGUCUGAGAGGAUGAUCAGCCACACUGGAACUGAGACACGGUCCAGACUCCUACGGGAGGCAGCAGUGGGGAAUAUUGGACAAUGGGCGCAAGCCUGAUCCAGCCGUACCGCGUGGGUGAAGAAGGCCUUCGGGUUGUAAAGCCCUUUUGUUGGGAAGGAAAAGCAGCAGGUUAAUACCCCGCUGUUCUGACGGUACCCAAAGAAUAAGCACCGGCUAACUUCGUG
rnacentral:rRNA from 1 species